rnacentral:rRNA from 1 species
UACAGAGACUGCAAGCGUUAUUCGGAUUCACUGGGCGUAAAGGGUGCGCAGGCGGCCGUGUGUGUCAGGUGUGAAAGCCCGGAGCUUAACUCCGGAAUUGCGCCUGAAACUACAUGGCUAGAGCAUUGGAGAGGGUAGCGGAAUUCACGGUGUAGCAGUGAAAUGCGUAGAUAUCGUGAGGAACACCAGAGGCGAAGGCGGCUACCUGGACAAUUGCUGACGCUCAGGCACGAAAGCGUGGGGAGCAAACAGG